CAGGCCCUGGGAGGCCCCCAGCAUGUCUGCCUGCAUGACAUCACAGGGGGUUCAAAAUAAGGAGCAAAAACACAGAACAUUUCAAAGGGCCAGUAGCCAGGUUCUGCUUCCUCCAACGUUAAAGACUCUCCUUCCUAUGUACCGAAGCCCGAGACAAGUUUUAAAAUAGUCGUUCAAUGGAGAGCAGGCCUCGAGUGUUCGCCAGGCCUGGCACAGAAGGAUGUGCCCCCUGAGGGAGAGUUCAAGAAUUAAAACUCAUCACACCUCUGAGCUCAGGGGACGUGAAAGGGAAGGUGAAGGAGCCUGCUGAGGCAUCUGGUCCAACAUCAGCACCUGACUGAGAAAAUCUCCAAUUCCAUCUCUGAGGGGUGACAAUCGUUUCCAGCCUCUGCUGGCACACCUUCCCUGGCAGCCUGGUAAGAGGGAGAGCUCUGCAGCUCCUCUCCUAAAGGCAGGGCUGAGGCUCCAGCACUCUUCUGAGAGUCAGUUCAGGUUCCGCCACAUUUCUGGCCAUAAGAGAACCCCACCUCCAUCUCCUACAGUGCUAUCCAGUCCUAAACCUUACACACUCCCUUCCUCUGGUUUUCUUGCCAUUGACUAGAACAAAUGCCCAGGAUCCUGCAGGGAUCUUGCACUUAGGAGCUGAGUUUAGUAUGGACAUGGCCCUGUUUGUUACUUAAAACACACAGGUUAAAUAUAUAUGUCGAUAACUUUAAUGAA